AACGAACGCUGGCGGCAUGCCUAACACAUGCAAGUCGAACGAGACCUUCGGGUCUAGUGGCGCACGGGUGCGUAACGCGUGGGAACCUGCCUUUAGGUUCGGAAUAACUCAGAGAAAUUUGAGCUAAUACCGGAUGAUGUCUUCGGACCAAAGAUUUAUCGCCUUUAGAUGGGCCCGCGUUGGAUUAGCUAGUUGGUGGGGGAAAGGCCUACCAAGGCGACGAUCCAUAACUGGUCUGAGAGGAUGAUCAGCCACACUGGGACUGAGACACGGCCCAGACUCCUACGGGAGGCAGCAGUGGGGAAUAUUGGACAAUGGGCGAAAGCCUGAUCCAGCAAUGCAGCGUGAGUGAUGAAGGCCUUAGGGUUGUAAAGCUCUUUUACCCGAGAUGAUAAUGACAGUAUCGGGAGAAUAAGCUCCGGCUAACUCCGUGCCAGCCGCCGCGGUAAUAC
rnacentral:rRNA from 1 species